GCCGAAGUGGCGGAAUUGGCAGACGCGCUACGUUCAGGGCGUAGUGACCACUAGGUCGUGUGGGUUCGAGUCCCACCUCCGGCA
rnacentral:tRNA from 1 species